rnacentral:rRNA from 1 species
CAGUAGCCGCGGGAACACAGAGGGUGCGAGCGUUAAUCGGAUUUACUGGGCGUAAAGCGUGCGUAGGCGGCUUUUUAAGUCGGAUGUGAAAUCCCUGAGCUUAACUUAGGAAUUGCAUUCGAUACUGGGAAGCUAGAGUAUGGGAGAGGAUGGUAGAAUUCCAGGUGUAGCGGUGAAAUGCGUAGAGAUCUGGAGGAAUACCGAUGGCGAAGGCAGCCAUCUGGCCUAAUACUGACGCUGAGGUACGAAAGCAUGGGGAGCAAACAGGAUUAGAUACCCCUGUAGUCCCUGUCUCUUAUAC